GACGAACGCUGGCGGCGUGCUUAACACAUGCAAGUCGAACGGAAAGGCCCUGCUUUUGUGGGGUGCUCGAGUGGCGAACGGGUGAGUAACACGUGAGUAACCUGCCCUUGACUUUGGGAUAACUUCAGGAAACUGGGGCUAAUACCGGAUAGGAGCUCCUGCUGCAUGGUGGGGGUUGGAAAGUUUCGGCGGUUGGGGAUGGACUCGCGGCUUAUCAGCUUGUUGGUGGGGUAGUGGCUUACCAAGGCUUUGACGGGUAGCCGGCCUGCGAGGGUGACCGGCCACAUUGGGACUGAGAUACGGCCCAGACUCCUACGGGAGGCAGCAGUGGGGAAUAUUGCACAAUGGGCGGAAGCCUGAUGCAGCAACGCCGCGUGCGGGAUGACGGCCUUCGGGUUGUAAACCGCUUUCGCCUGUGACGAAGCGUGAGUGACGGUAAUGGGUAAAGAAGCACCGGCUAACUACAUG
rnacentral:rRNA from 1 species